rnacentral:rRNA from 1 species
GGACUCGGGGGGAAGUAUGCUCGCAAGGGUGAAACUUAAAGAAAUUGACGGAAGGGCACCACCAGAUGUGGAGCCUGCGGCUUAAUUUGACUCAACACGGGAAAACUUACCAGGUCAAAACACAAGCAGGAUUGACAGAUUGAAGAUCUUUCUUGAUUUUGUGGUUGGUGGUGCAUGGCCGUUCUUAGUCCGUGUAGUGAUUUGGCAGGUUAAUUCCGUUAACGGACGAGACCUCAACCUGCUAAUUAGUUGUGGCCUUUUUUAGAUGCCGCGCGCGCGCUUGCGUGUGUGUUUUCUAUUUACGCACCUGCGCAAAUAUGCUAAUAUGUGCGCGAGCGUUCACGCGUUUGUCGUUACAAAAAGGCGGCGAAAGCUCGUGGAUUUUAACCCGCGCUCAACUUCUUAGAGGGACAAUCUGUGUUUAGCAGAAAGAAGUUUGAGGCAAUAACAGGUCUGUGAUGCCCCUAGAUGUCCUGGGCUGCACGCGCGCUACACUGGUGCAUUCAACAAGCUAAAACCUAAGUUGAAAGGCUCGGGUAAUCUUUUGAAAAUGCAUCGUGAUUGGGAUAGAUGAUUGUAAUUUUUCAUCUUGAACGAGGAAUAUCUAGUAAACGCAAGUCAUCAACUUGCAUUGAUUACGUCCCUGCCCUUUGUACACACCGCCCGUCGCUUCUACCGAUGAAUGGUCCGGUGAAUACAGUGGAGGAGAAUUAGAUGAACGUUUCCGUAACUGAUUCUUUCUCUAAAGCUGUAUAACCCUUACCAUUUAGAGGAAGGAGAAGUCGAAGGGCGAAUUUCCACAUUGGG